rnacentral:rRNA from 1 species
UGAUGGGCUUGAGUGCAGGAGAGGUUAUCGGAAUUCCCGGUGUAGCGGUGAAAUGCGUAGAGAUCGGGAGGAACACCAGUGGCGAAGGCGGGUAACUGGACUGCAACUGACGCUGAGGCGCGAAAGUGUGGGGAGCAAACAGGAUUAGAUACCCUGGUAGUCCACACUGUAAACGAUGAAUGCUAGGUGUAGGGGGUAUCGACCCCUUCUGUGCCGCAGUAAACACAAUAAGCAUUCCGCCUGGGGAGUACGGUCGCAAGAUUAAAACUCAAAGGAAUUGACGGGGGCCCGCACAAGCAGCGGAGCAUGUGGUUUAAUUCGAAGCAACGCGAAGAACCUUACCAGGUCUUGACAUCCAUUUAAACUUGUAGAGAUAUGAGGUCCCUUCGGGGGAAAUGAGACAGGUGGUGCAUGGUUGUCGUCAGCUCGUGUCGUGAGAUGUUGGGUUAAGUCCCGCAACGAGCGCAACCCUAAUCG